rnacentral:tRNA from 1 species
GGACCCGUGGCGCAACGGUAGCGCGUCUGAUUCCAGCUCAGGUGGUUCCAGAAGGUUAAGUGUUCAAAUCACUUCGGGUUCA